rnacentral:rRNA from 1 species
UACGUAGGUGGCAAGCGUUGUCCGGAAUUAUUGGGCGUAAAGCGCGCGCAGGCGGCCUCUUAAGUCUGAUGUGAAAGCCCCCCGGCUCAACCGGGGAGGGCCAUUGAAACUGGGAGGCUUGAGUAUAGGAGAGAAGAGUGGAAUUCCACGUGUAGCGGUGAAAUGCGUAGAGAUGUGGAGGAACACCAGUGGCGAAGGCGACUCUUUGGCCUAUAACUGACGCUGAGGCGCGAAAGCGUGGGGAGCAAACAGG